AAACUAACAAGGAUUCCCCUAGUAACGGCGAGUGAACCGGGAAGAGCUCAAAUUUGUAAUCUGGCGUGCUCCGUGCGUCCGAGUUGUAAUCUACAGAGGCGUUUUCCGCGUCGGACCGUGUUUAAGUCCCUUGGAACAGGGUAUCAAAGAGGGUGACAAUCCCGUGCUUGACACGACGACCGAUGCUAUGUGAUACGCUUUCUACGAGUCGAGUUGUUUGGGAAUGCAGCUCAAAAUGGGUGGUAAAUUCCAUCUAAAGCUAAAUAUUGGCGAGAGACCGAUAGCGAACAAGUACCGUGAGGGAAAGAUGAAAAGCACUUUGGAAAGAGAGUUAAACAGUACGUGAAAUUGUUGAAAGGGAAACGAUUGAAGUCAGUCGUGUCGGUCGAGUUCAGCCGGGUCUCCCGGUGUAUUCUCGGCCGGCGGGUCAACAUCAGUUUGAGCCGGCGGAUAAUGGCAGGAGGAAGGUGGCACCCUCGGGUGUGUUAUAGCCUCCCGUCGCAUACGCUGGCCCAGACUGAGGACUGCAGCUCGCCUUUACGGCAGGGGUUCGCCCACUUCCGAGCUUAGGAUGUUGACGUAAUGGCUUUAAACGAC
rnacentral:rRNA from 1 species